AGAGCUGGCGGCAUGCUUUACACAUGCAAGUCGAACGGUAACAGGCCGCAAGGUGCUGACGAGUGGCGAACGGGUGAGUAAUGCAUCGGAACGUGCCCAGUCGUGGGGGAUAACGCAGCGAAAGCUGCGCUAAUACCGCAUACGAUCUAUGGAUGAAAGCGGGGGACCGUAAGGCCUCGCGCGAUUGGAGCGGCCGAUGUCAGAUUAGGUAGUUGGUGGGGUAAAGGCUCACCAAGCCAACGAUCUGUAGCUGGUCUGAGAGGACGACCAGCCACACUGGGACUGAGACACGGCCCAGACUCCUACGGGAGGCAGCAGUGGGGAAUUUUGGACAAUGGGCGAAAGCCUGAUCCAGCCAUGCCGCGUGCAGGAUGAAGGCCUUCGGGUUGUAAACUGCUUUUGUACGGAACGAAAAGACUCUGGUUAAUACCUGGGGUCCAUGACGGUACCGUAAGAAUAAGCACCGGCUAACUACGUGCCAGCAGCCGCGGUAAUACGUAGGGUGCAAGCGUUAAUCGGAAUUACUGGGCGUAAAGCAUGCGCAGGCGGUUAUAUAAGACAGAUGUGAAAUCCCCGGGCUCAACCUGGGAACUGCAUUUGUGACUGUAUAGCUAGAGUACGGCAGAGGGGGAUGGAAUUCCGCGUGUAGCAGUGAAAUGCGUAGAUAUGCGGAGGAACACCGAUGGCGAAGGCAAUCCCCUGGGCCUGUACUGACGCUCAUGCACGAAAGCGUGGGGAGCAAACAGGAUUAGAUACCCCUGGUAGUCCACGCCCUAAACGAUGUCAACUGGUUGUUGGGUCUUCACUGACUCAGUAACGAAGCUAACGCGUGAAGUUGACCGCCUGGGGAGUACGGCCGCAAGGUUGAAACUCAAAUGAAUUGACGGAAGGCGAAU
rnacentral:rRNA from 1 species